rnacentral:tRNA from 1 species
GGGCGAUUAGCUCAGUUGGUAGAGCAGCUGACUCUUAAUCAGCGGGUCGAAGGUUCGAAUCCUUCAUCGCCCACCA